rnacentral:rRNA from 1 species
UACAGAGGGGGCAAGCGUUAUUCGGAAUUAUUGGGCGUAAAGGGCGCGUAGGCGGUCGUGCAAGUGGAAGGUGAAAUCCCUCGGCUCAACCGAGGAACUGCCUUUCAAACUGCAUGACUUGAGUCCGGGAGAGGUGAGUGGAAUUCCCAGUGUAGCGGUGAAAUGCGUAGAUAUUGGGAGGAACACCAGUGGCGAAGGCGGCUACCUGGACCGGUUCUGACGCUGAGGCGCGAAAGCGUGGGUAGCAAACAGG